CGCUAUCACUCCUACGGGAGGCAGCAGUGGGGAAUAUUGCACAAUGGGGGAAACCCUGAUGCAGCCAUGCCGCGUGUGUGAAGAAGGCCUUCGGGUUGUUAAAGCACUUUCAGUAGGGAGGAAGGUAGUGUAGUUAACACCUGCAUUAUUUGACGUUACCUACAGAAGAAGCACCGGCUAACUCCGUGCCAGCAGCCGCGGUAAUACGGAGGGUGCGAGCGUUAAUCGGAAUUACUGGGCGUAAAGCGCAUGCAGGCGGCCUGUUAAGUCAGAUGUGAAAGCCCGGGGCUUAACCUCGGAAUUGCAUUUGAAACUGGCAGGCUAGAGUCUUGUAGAGGGGGUAGAAUUUCAGGUGUAGCGGUGAAAAUGCGUAGAGAUCUGAAGGAAUACCAGUGGCGAAGGCGGCCCCCUGGACAAAGACUGACGCUCAGAUGCGAAAAGCGUGGGGAGCAAACAGGAUUAGAUACCCUGGUAG
rnacentral:rRNA from 1 species